rnacentral:tRNA from 1 species
AGCGGAGUAGAGCAGCAUGGUAGCUCGUUGGGCUCAUAACCCGAAGGUCAGAGGUUCAAAUCCACUCUCCGCUA